rnacentral:rRNA from 1 species
UCGAACGGGAAGGCAUCCUUGUGGGUGCUGGAGAGUGGCGCACGGGUGAGUAACACGUAACUGAUCUGCCCCAUAGUCUGGGAUAACCUUUGGAAACAGAGGCUAAUACGGGAUGAUAGCGUGCUAGUUAGAGAGUUGCGCUUAAAGUGAAUGAGCGCUAUGGGAUGAGGUUGCGGUCCAUCAGCUAGUUGGUGAGGUAAAGGCUUACCAAGGCGAUGACGGAUAGGGGAUCUGAGAGGGUGGCCCCCCACACUGGGACUGAGACACGGCCCAGACUCCUACGGGAGGCAGCAGUAAGGGAUAUUGCACAAUGGACGGAAGUCUGAUGCAGCGACGCCGCGUGGGCGAAGAAGGUUUUCGGAUCGUAAAGUCCUUUUCUAUGUGACGAGGAAGGACGGUAGCAUAGGAAUAAGUGUCGGCUAACUACGUGCCAGCAGCCGCGGUAAAACGUAGGACGCGAACGUUAUCCGGAGUUACUGGGCGUAAAG